AGAAGCGAGAGCACUCGUGAAAAUCCCUAAUGUGUUUCAGCGUUUCCCCUUUCCCUCAAAUGCUACAAUAUGUGUACAUGGCAAAUACUCUCUCACUCUCCAAACAAUUUCCACUGGCAACUCACCAAAGAAGAGAACGCUUCCAAUGCUUCUUCACCUUUGCCCCCUCCCAUUCCCCUCCCUUCCAUGGCCCAUCUUCUUCUCCAAGGUGAAGAUCGUGCCGUAGACGAUGGUUCCACCUUCUCGAAUUCUCUUUUCACGACAGGCUCGGGGAAAAAGGUUACUAUAUCUCCCAGCGGUUUGGUUAGGGCAAAGACAUUGCUAGAAACUAUUGAUAGUGAUAUCGAAAUUCCUCAUUAUGCUAAAGAAUCGCAGCAGCAACAACAAUCAUCUGAAUUGAAGCUACGUAGAGUUUUCGAUGGUCCUUCAGUGGGUACUCGUCAUGCAUUGAAUAAUGGUUUUGAAGAAAAGGAAGCGAAUUGCUCUGGUGGCAAUGAAGCCCCAAUUAAUUUCCACACUGCAGGUGGAAGGUCUAUAUCCAUUUCCAACAAUGCGCUGCAGCGUGCACGGAGUCUUCUGGGUGACCCAGAUGUGGGGGAUUUGUUUGAAGGAGGGGAUUCGGUCUUUUCGGUUCCAUUUAAGGGACGAAUGGACAUGGCUGACACUAGUGAAAGAGGGGAGUGUAAUAGUCCUUUGGCUCGUGGGCUGGAUUCGGUGAGCAAUUGCAUGACAAAGAGUUUCACUUAUCCCUUGUUGUCUUCUAGGCAAAGGGGCUUGUCAACUAAGUUUCCUUGUGAGGGUGAUGGGAAUAACUUGAUUUCGAGAUUCGAUGCGGUUGGGGAAGAGAGUGAUUAUGGCCGGAAAAGUACCAACGCUUGUGGACAGAAGCCUCUGUAUGACAUGAACCAAGCACCAAAGUCAGCAGGAUAUGAUUCUAAAUUGAAUGGUUUUUCUUCAAAGUUAGGUUCUCGCAGCGUGUUGCGCAGGCCGUUGGUUGAUGUUUCCAAUAGCAUUAACACAGAUCAAACAAACAAUGGACAACCUGGUAGUGGAAAACGGAGACUAGGAUUGCGUGUAACUGCUUCUCCCUUUAAGAAGCCUCGUUGUUCCAAAACUUCUGUUACUUCAGAGCAGGAUGUUGGAACAUAUCCUUAUGAUUUGUCUCAAUUGUCCUCUGGAGUUUCUGGAUGCAAAAGAGAGGUUUCGAGCCGAUAUCCAUUUCACUAUCCAAGGAUGUACAUCAAUGAAUUUUUUGCUGUGCCUCCAUUAGAGAAGAAAGUGACCAGUCAGGUGACAUCAGUUAAUGCAGAAAAGUAUGUGUUUCAUGAAGGGUCUGGUGAUGAUGGUAUGGGAGCAGAAGCUUUUGUCCAUCUAUUGACUCACCAUGGAGCUUCCAUGCAGUUUGCUACUAAAGAGUGGGUCAUGAAUCAUUACAAGUGGAUUGUCUGGAAAUUGGCAUGCUAUGAGAGAUACUAUCCAGCUAGUCCUGCUGGAAAUUUUUUGACUGUAUCAAAUGUGCUUGAGGAACUGAAGUACAGAUAUGAAAGAGAAGUGAAUCAUGGCCAGCGGUCUACCAUCAAGAAAAUUCUUGAGGGGGAUGCAUUGCCUUCUUCAAUGAUGAUUCUGUGCAUUUCAAGCAUUCACUCUAGUCAUGUUCCAGAAAGUGGCACUUGUUUUGAGACAGAAAAUGGGGCUCAGAAAGCAGAAGCAGUAAAAGUUGAACUAACUGAUGGAUGGUAUUCUAUGAAUGCUAUUUUAGAUGUUCCAUUGUCAAAGCAACAAGCUGCUGGAAGAUUGUUUGUGGGACAGAAGCUUCGGAUCUGGGGAGCAGGAUUAUGUGGCUGGAAUGGGCCCGUUUCACCCCUCGAGGUUUCAUCAACAGUUAGUUUAUUGCUGCACAUAAAUGGAACAUAUAGAGCUCACUGGGCUGAACGGUUAGGAUUUUGUAAGGUUGCUGGUCCUCCUUUGGCUUUUAGAUGCAUAAAAAGAAAUGGUGGUCUCGUACCACAAACUUUGGUUGGAAUUACCUGCUUAUAUCCCAUUCUUUACAAGGAAAGGUUAGGCAAUGGACGAUCUGUUGUCAUGUCUGAGAGGAUGGAGAAUAGAAUGAUGGAGUUGUACAAUCAGAGACGCUCUGCUGUUGUAGAUGGCAUCAUUUCGGAGUAUCAGAAGGAAAUGUCACAUAUUUAUCAUGACAGUGAUAGUGAAGGUGCUAAGAUUUAUAACAUGCUGGAGACAGCAGAAGAACCUGAAUUCCUAAUGGCAGAUAUGAGUCCAGAGCAGCUUAGUUCUUUUGCUGCAUAUAAGACCAAAUUACAUGCAAUCAGACAGUCAGAAAUGGAAAAAUCAAUAGAAAAGGCUUUGAAAGAUGCUAGCUUGGGACAUAGAGAAGUCACACCAUUUAUGAGGUUACGGGUAGUUGGAUUAACUUAUAAAACUCGACAAGACAAACCUAAAGAAGGCAUAGUAACAAUCUGGAACCCGACCGAGAAGCAGCGUCAGGAGUUGGUAGAGGGAGGAGCAUAUGUCAUUGCAGGACUUGUACCAUCAACUUCUGAUUUUGAUAUCCUUCACUUGCAUACUAGAGGAUCUUCUACCAAGUGGUUGCCUUUAUCUUCUAAUGCAAGGGAACAGUUUAAGCCAUUUUUCAGCAGUAGGAAAUCUAUCCUGUUGUCAAGUUUGGGUGACAUCCCUCUUUCCAAUGAGUUUGACAUCACUGCAUAUGUUGUUCAUGUGGGAGAGGUUUAUACAUCAAGUCAGCAAAAGAAGCAAUGGGUUUUUGUGACUGAUGGAUCCAUCAUGAAUGGUUUACAGUCAGAAAAGUUAAUCAACUCCUUGCUUGCUAUCUGUUUUUGCUCUCCAUUGAUUGAUGAUGAUUCAUUUCCACCAAUCAACUAUAACCUUGCAGGAUCUACGGUUGGUUUCUGUAAUCUUAUAAAAAAGGAAAAGGACCAUACAAACCAUAUCUGGGUUGCUGAUGCUACUGAAAACUCUGCUUAUUAUUUGAAUUUUGAUUCCCGGAACUGUUCUCACCUCAGAAAUGCUGCCAGCUCCGUCAGAGGAUGGGCAAACAAUUCUAGUUUGAUAAUAGAGAAACUCAAGGAAAAGGUGUUGAAUGUAGUUGGUGAUGAAUGUAAAGACUAGGAAAAGAAGCAGAACUACAGAAGUACUAUUUUGCUAUAUUGUCUAUGACAUUGACAUCAGUUACAGGUUCAAUGGUUCUAAAAUGCUAUGGUGUUCUUGAGUUAAUUGACCGGUCAACUAGAUUGGUUCCUCGUUGGAUCGGUACUUACUUAUUUAGUUUGAUUUUCAAAAUAAUGUUUUUUCAUGUGUUCAAAUACAUCUCAUUUCCAUCUUCACUUCUCAACAUUGUCUUUUUAUUUUUUAUUUUGGC